rnacentral:tRNA from 1 species
GAAGGCAUAGCUCAGUUGGUUAGAGCGCCACGUUGACAUCGUGGAAGUCGCUGGUUCGAGUCCAGUUGUCUUCA